rnacentral:rRNA from 1 species
GCCUAAUACAUGCAAGUCGAACGGGAUUGAGAGCUUGCUUUCAUGAGAGUGGCGUACGGGUGCGUAACGCGUAUGCAACCUACCUUCAUCAGGGGGAUAGCCCGAAGAAAUUCGGAUUAACACCGCAUAAAAACACAGCUUGGCAUCAAGCAAUGUUCAAAUAUUUAUAGGAUGAAGAUGGGCAUGCGUGUCAUUAGCUAGUUGGUAAGGUAACGGCUUACCAAGGCUACGAUGACUAGGGGAUCUGAGAGGAUGACCCCCCACACUGGUACUGAGACACGGACCAGACUCCUACGGGAGGCAGCAGUAAGGAAUAUUGGUCAAUGGAGGCAACUCUGAACCAGCCAUGCCGCGUGCAGGAAGACUGCCUUAUGGGUUGUAAACUGCUUUUAUACGGGAAUAAACCUUAAUUCGUGAAUUAAGCUGAAUGUACCGUAAGAAUAAGGAUCGGCUAACUCCGUGCCAGCAGCCGCGGUAAUACGGAGGAUCCAAGCGUUAUCCGGAUUUAUUGGGUUUAAAGGGAGCGUAGGCGGCUUGUUAAGUCAGGGGUGAAAGACGGUGGCUCAACCAUCGCAGUGCCUUUGAUACUGACGAGCUUGAAUAUAGUUGAGGUAGGCGGAAUGUGACAAGUAGCGGUGAAAUGCAUAGAUAUGUCACAGAACACCGAUUGCGAAGGCAGCUUACUAAGCUAUUAUUGACGCUGAGGCUCGAAAGCGUGGGGAUCAAACAGGAUUAGAUACCCUGGUAGUCCACGCCCUAAACGAUGAUAACUCGAUGUUGGCGAUAUACAGUCAGCGUCCAAGCGAAAGCGUUAAGUUAUCCACCUGGGGAGUACGCCCGCAAGGGUGAAACUCAAAGGAAUUGACGGGGGCCCGCACAAGCGGA